GACGAACGCUGGCGGCGUGCUUAACACAUGCAAGUCGAACGGAAAGGCCCUGCUUUUGUGGGGUGCUCGAGUGGCGAACGGGUGAGUAACACGUGAGUAACCUGCCCUUGACUUUGGGAUAACUUCAGGAAACUGGGGUUAAUACCGGAUAGGAGCUCCUGCUGCAGGGGGGGGGUUGGAAAGUUUCGGCGGUUGGGGAUGGACUCGCGGCUUAUCAGCUUGUUGGUGGGGUAGUGGCUUACCAAGGCUUUGACGGGUAGCCGGCCUGAGAGGGUGACCGGCCACAUUGGGACUGAGAUACGGCCCAGACUCCUACGGGAGGCAGCAGUGGGGAAUAUUGCACAAUGGGCGGAAGCCUGAUGCAGCAACGCCGCGUGCGGGAUGACGGCCUUCGGGUUGUAAACCGCUUUCGCCUGUGACGAAGCGUGAGUGACGGUAAUGGGUAAAGAAGCACCGGCUAACUACGUG
rnacentral:rRNA from 1 species